rfam:Mustela putorius furo unplaced genomic scaffold scaffold00400, whole genome shotgun sequence.
CCAAAGGCUCUUUUCAGAGCCACUUAACUUUUUUACCAAGAAAGAG